GUCACAUUUAGGGGCCCGUCUGGAGUCCUUUCAUGCUAAAUUGGAUGAAGGCAGAAGCACUGGAGCUGAGCGGAGUGGAGAUGUCACAGCGCUCUCCGGCCUGUGUGCGGAGGCCAGACGCUUCAGCUCCAAGAGGAGAGAAAGAUGAAUGAGUCCGGGUGCCGUGGAAUCCAGUGGCGGUGGAGAUAAGCUGUGUUACGUGUGGAAGAGGAACCUUUUUUCCCUCGACUCUGCUGCUGCGAUAGUGAGGAGCACCUGCACAUAGAUGAGAGGAGGGCGCCUCCCUGUAAGCAGGCAACAAAGCCAAUCUCCCACAGGACUCUUUCUGCGACGUCCCGCCUCUCUUUGGAGGUGUUGUACAGUCGCACAUCCGUCAGCAGAGGCCGUCCCAGUGUGUCUCGCAGCUCUGCACUGGUCCCAUGAAUAAAUCUGUGCCUUCCUGCGCCCUGAUGCCUCUGAGAAGCGACUUGCACGUCGUCUCACGCGGUAAUGACUCUCUUGUCAUUCAUUGUGCACACAGAAGAUCCCUCAGAGCGGUAAAACAUCUGCUCGGCGUCUGGAGUUUCCGCGGAGGAAAAAUCAGGGACAAGGUGCUACAUUCCUCGCUGGCUGUUGGUCAAACUGCACAGAGCUCGACAGCGAAUUAUCAGAGGCACAUUUUUAAAAAAGUCAAAGUCACACCUCCCUUUGAACCGCUAAUUGGCUGUUAGGUCGUUUAUGAUGAUAUUAAAUGAAGCGUGGUUGCUGUUGUGUUACUUAAAAUCAGUUUUUGUUCAGUGCUUCGUAGCAAAGGGUAACAAACAUACAAAGACGGAGCGAAAAAGGAACACAGAAUAUAGACGACGAUGGCGGUCCAGUUCAAUAGUUUUGCUUUCACCGGGAGCUCGGAUCUAAAAUGCAUCCCCGGAUGGACACCGGCACACAGGUCCGAACAUCAAAGGGCUCUUUCAUGUCGCUGGGAGGGACAUUACUGAGGCCUGGCUGUCGCUGCUUCUCAAUGCCACCGGCAGUAUUAAUGUUAUUAAGUAUUAAGGCUCUGUGGACACAAAAAAGCCAUUUCAGCCAGGAUUAACUAGAGGCUUGAUAAAGGAGCGGCCCUUUGAGGCAGGAAGGAGUGGCGCUGGGGACAAAUGGAUGUACCAGCUAAUGAGUCAAAUUAUGAAUUACACUGCAAACAAAAUAAUUGGUCUGAUGACUUUCAUGGAGGAUCCCACGCAGUACUUUUGUUACGUAUAACUCUGUAUGCCGUGAACAUCUUUGGGUCAAAUUCAAGUGGAGCUUGAUUCCUGUGGAGCUGAUUUAGUCAUUUAAAAGGCUUCGCAUAAUCAAUACUCAACAGGUAAUCGUGCGAGAGUUAAACUGCCUCCAAACCACUUUCUCAAUAUGGACCAAUUUUAUCCUGGUACGGAUCCUCAAUGAUUCCUCAUCAACAGCGAGCGGUGACAGAGCAACUCUGAAUUAGUUACGCUCAUAAAAGCCACACGAUACACACUAAUUAAUAAAGUGUCGACACGUUGCGUUGGAGCUGGCGUGUUAGGCACAGAAUAUACCGAUAAAGCAGCACGUACGCUCUGCGGAAUUUCUCACAUUGUCCCGUGCCAGUUUUAAAAGUCUGCUGUUGAGACACAUUUCCUCAUAACCCCGUUCCAUUGGACGUCUGGACGGAAAACUUAAAGCGCCGCUCAACGUCUCUCUGCGCAAUUCGACUGGCAGGAUAAACAAAGUGGUGUAGAAAAGCUGUGGACGGCCUGGAGGCAGCAGCAGAGGAGAGGCUGAGGACUCAAGUGAACUCCACCCCGAGCAACAUCUCGCACCCCCUCUGUGGUGGGCCGAGAGAGCCAAAGACCAUCGCCUCACCAGGAGCAACGCUGGGCGCAGGAACUGCUCUCGUUGUGUAAUAACAGCGCACUUGUUGUUCCAAAAGGCGGCAUGACUUAUGAGCAAGCAGCUGUAUCUAAAUAAAACAAUUUGGGAUAUAAGCUAAUUUAUUUUCUUGCAGAGAUUAUGCUGAGAAUGAAUAUUAAGCUACAGGCGGCUGGUUAGUCUGCACACAGGGGGAAACAGAAAGCUGGUAUUAAAAUAUGCCUUGCAGCACCUCUACAGUUCUCUUAACAACAUGCUUCGUUAAUACCGACAAAAACUGUAAAAACCGGAAUGCGUGAGGUGCUACAUCGACUCCAGUGGAUACGAGUAAAUACCAGUGAGUAUACGAAUGCCCUGCUUAAAGCCGGGGAAUCAAACCGUAUAUCAGAAAAUGUAUCAGUAUGCAUUAUGGUUUAUUUUGGAAUAAAGUAUGUUGUACACUCGCCAUG
ensembl:lncRNA